rnacentral:rRNA from 1 species
GGACGGAGGGGGCAAGCGUUGUUCGGAAUUAUUGGGCGUAAAGGGCUCGUAGGCGGACCUGUAAGUUUGACGUGAAAAUCUCCACCGCUCACCGGGGGAGGGGUCGUUGAAUACUGCAGGUCUGGAGUUCGGCAGAGGACCACGGAAUUCCGCGUGUAGCGGUGGAAUGCGUAGAGAUCCGGAAGAACACCGGUGGCGAAGGCGGUCUGCUGGGGCGAGUUGCUGCACUGAGGCGCGGACAGCGUGGGGAGCAAACAGG